UUUUAAGUUAAGGCUUACAAAACUCCAAGUCUCUUCUGCAAAACUGCUAUAAAAAGAUCUUCAACCACAAAAGCCACCAGAAUUCACAAAGCCACACCCCUGCCCAGGAAAAGCAAAGCUAAUGUCAAUAGGUGGACAGGAAUGGAUGACCAAUGGUCUCAAAUGCCAUAGAGGAAUCUCCAAAAAUGAACUG